AGAUAAUGAAGUAAAAAUUACAUUUAGUUUCGACCUAAAAUUUAGAAUAUAAUUAUUCCUUAUCUA
rnacentral:tRNA from 1 species